CUUUGAAACACCAGUGCCCAUAAAUUCACCCAAGUUAAGCAAUAUCAAGCCUGGUCAGUACUUAGAUGGGUGACCACUCGAGAGUACCAGGUGCUAUA